UAAAUUUUAACUGAAAGAGCAACCAGCAAGAAGAUGAUGAUCAUCAGCGUCUGUAUCUGGACACUCAUUCUUUGUGUUCAAGAAACUACAGGACACAUUUCUGUGACUCAGACUCCCUCAGUAGCAGCUGUUCAGCCAGGAGAAACAGUUACUUUAAACUGUCAGACUAGCAGGGGAAUCGGAGAUCGUUCACAGGGUUGUAGUGACUGUUUCUCCUGGUAUCUGCAGAAACCUGGAGAAGCUCCUAAACUCCUGAUUUAUAGAACAAACACCCUCCAGUCAGGAACUCCAUCUAGAUUCAGUGGCAGUGGAUCUGGGACUGAUUUCACUCUGACCAUCAGUGGAGUCCAGACUGAAGAUGCUGGACAUUAUUACUGUCAGAGUGCACACUAUAUCAGUAGUAGCUGGGUGUUCACACAGUGA